CCUACGGGAGGCAGCAGUGAGGAAUAUUGGUCAAUGGUCGUAAGCCUGAACCAGCCAAGCCGCGUGAGGGAUGAAGGUUCUGUGGAUCGUAAACCUCUUUUGUAAGGGAAUAAAGUCCGGGACGUGUCCCGUUUUGUGUGUACCUUAUGAAUAAGGAUCGGCUAACUCCGUGCCAGCAGCCGCGGUAAUACGGAGGUUCCGAGCGUUAUCCGGAUUUAUUGGGUUUAAAGGGUGAGUAGGCGGCCUUGUAAGUCAGCGGUGAAAGUCUGUGGCUCAACCCUAGAAUUGCCGUUGAAACUGGGAGGCUGGAGUAUGUGUGAGGCAGGCGGAAUGCGUGGUGUAGCGGUGAAAUGCUUAGAUAUCACGCAGAACCCCGAUUGCGAAGGCAGCCUGCCAAGCCAUGACUGACGCUGAGGCACGAAAGCGUGGGUAUCAAACAGGAUUAGAUACCCCUGUAGUC
rnacentral:rRNA from 1 species